rnacentral:sRNA from 1 species
AAUAAGUAUACGCUUAAUUUUCAAUAUGCAAUGUUGAAAAGCGGGGGAACCAAUCAAUGGGGGCGAGUCGUUUGCCAUGCAAACGUAGGGAACCAUCUUUCCCGAGUCCGUCAGCUAACCUCGUCAGCGUUGGAUGGGUCAAAUU